rnacentral:rRNA from 1 species
UACGAAGGGGGCUAGCGUUGCUCGGAAUCACUGGGCGUAAAGGGUGCGUAGGCGGGUCUUUGAGUUAGGGGUGAAAUCCUGGAGCUCAACUCCAGAACUGCCUUUGAUACUGAAGAUCUUGAGUUCGGGAGAGGUGAGUGGAACUGCGAGUGUAGAGGUGAAAUUCGUAGAUAUUCGCAAGAACACCAGUGGCGAAGGCGGCUCACUGGCCCGAUACUGACGCUGAGGCACGAAAGCGUGGGGAGCAAACAGG